GGUUCGAUAGCUCAGUUGGGAGAGCGCACGACUGAAGUUCAAUCAGAACAUCAUCGUGCGGUCCCUGGUUCAAUCCCGGGUCUGACCA